rnacentral:rRNA from 1 species
ACGAACGCUGGCGGCAUGCCUAACACAUGCAAGUCGAACGAGACCUUCGGGUCUAGUGGCGCACGGGUGCGUAACGCGUGGGAACCUGCCCUUAGGUUCGGAAUAACUCCCCGAAAGGGGUGCUAAUACCGGAUAAUGUCUUCGGACCAAAGAUUUAUCGCCUUUGGAUGGGCCCGCGUUGGAUUAGCUAGUUGGUAGGGUAAAAGCCUACCAAGGCGACGAUCCAUAGCUGGUCUGAGAGGAUGAUCAGCCACACUGGGACUGAGACACGGCCCAGACUCCUACGGGAGGCAGCAGUGGGGAAUAUUGGACAAUGGGCGAAAGCCUGAUCCAGCAAUGCCGCGUGAGUGAUGAAGGCCUUAGGGUUGUAAAGCUCUUUUACCCGGGAUGAUAAUGACAGUACCGGGAGAAUAAGCUCCGGCUAACUCCGCGC